rnacentral:rRNA from 1 species
AUUGAACGCUGGCGGCAUGCUUUACACAUGCAAGUCGAACGGUAACAGGUUAAGCUGACGAGUGGCGAACGGGUGAGUAAUGCAUCGGAAUGUGCCCGAUCGUGGGGGAUAACGCAGCGAAAGCUGCGCUAAUACCGCAUACGAUCUGAGGAUGAAAGCGGGGGACCGUAAGGCCUCGCGCGAUCGGAGCGGCCGAUGUCAGAUUAGGUAGUUGGUGGGGUAAAGGCUCACCAAGCCGACGAUCUGUAGCUGGUCUGAGAGGACGACCAGCCACACUGGGACUGAGACACGGCCCAGACUCCUACGGGAGGCAGCAGUGGGGAAUUUUGGACAAUGGGCGCAAGCCUGAUCCAGCAAUGCCGCGUGCAGGAAGAAGGUCUUCGGGUUGUAAACUGCUUUUGUACGGAGCGAAAAGGCUCUCUCUAAUACUAGGAGCUCAUGACGGUACUGUAAGAAUAAGCACCGGCUAACUACGUGCCAGCAGCCGCAGUAA